AUCAUUGCUGGGGAAGUUUUUUCUUUCUGGAAGUAUGUGGGGAUGAUCUGGUAAAGCCAAGUUAGACAAAUGAUUCAGUCUCCAUGGCCCAAUUUACCUACCACACGUCCCUCAUGAAGCAGGUGUAACAGGAAAUGAUGUUAAAUACCUCAGGCUUUCACAGAAUUGAGUCUUCAAAGUCAGUAUCAAUAUUUUUAUUGUUUUGUUCAGGACAGAUUACAUCCUCUCUUACGGUCACUUCACUUGAAUAAGUUUGAAAUGAUCAAGACAGCAACGGGAAGAGAGGAAAGCAGGUUGCCACAUGGGGCUUGGAAGAACUGACUGUCUUGUUAGGGUGCGGUUGGAUAUCAGACCUCAGGUUGCACUCUAAGAUAAAACAGUGUUACUUGCUCACACAUUACACGAUUGACCUCUUACCAUGAGUGAGGACUGCUCUGGCCAGAAAGGGAAUCAGAAGAGUCCUGGUACAAAAAAAAGUCCAUCUAGAGAGCUGCAAUUAUGAAGUUAAUGGAGUAGUCAAAUACUACAACGUUGAAUGUACCCAAGAACCUGCAAACCUAUGCUGUCUGCCUAAGCAAUCUGCAUUAUGUGCUGGCAGCUAUGGCUCCUGUGGAAUUUAUGUUCUGAGCACUGAGGAAGAGCAUCUCCCCCUGAAGUCAUCUAGCACUGAUUUCACAUUCUGGCUAUCCUCAUUGUCUCUUUUUCAGGGAACAUGUCCUCUUGUGUUUCGAUUUCCACGAGAAUUGCAGGAAAGGAGUUCUUGUAAUAGCUGCUCUUGCUUAUGCCUGUAGGAGUGGGAAGGAGGACAUCAACUGGUAGCAUAAGCCCAGACACCUGAGUACCAUACCAUUCUCCUCUGAGAUACUGGGCAAGUCUUUCCAUUUCUAUGUACUGCUCUUCUCCCUCUAAACUGAAGCUAAUAACUUUCUUCCAUUUUUUAUAAUUCCUGUACCAGUUUACUCUGUCAGGCCUGAAGUGCCUGACAGUGGCAGUUUUGGUGCUUGUACACUUUAUUGCUUUUGCUGCUCCCUACUAAUAUUAAGAGAGUGUACUCCAAAACUCUGAUAACAUAUCUGGAAGCCAAAUCAGAAAGCAUACUGUUUUUGUUUUUUUUUUUCUUUUUCAGGGUUUGAGUAGCACAGUGAGCACCAUUAGGUUCACAAAUUUCUGCAAAGAAGAGACACCGUGCAAAAUACUGAAUUUUUGUCCGCAUAGCUAGGCUCCUUGUUUGACAUCUGAAGUCAGGUUUCAUCUUAAAUAUUUUCUAAUAGGGAAGUGGUUUUAUCUUAAAUUUUUUAUGUUAUUGAAGUGCUGGAUUUCCAGUAAUACCUAUUUUGCUGAUGAAGGUAAGGGCACCCCAGUGUCUUCUGUACCAGAUGGAACAGGGAUUACAGAAACUCAUGUGGCAUUACUGCAAGAGAAACUCGGAAAUGAAAACCAGACCAUGACACAGAAGAGAUUACAGACUGAAAUUGCAUAGUGAAUGGAAGAACAGGAUUUUGAGUAGAUCUUUAUUUUUUUUUCUUCUGGAGAGAAAAAAAAAAAAACAACCAUGUGAAUUUAGGUAUUAACCAUGCUAAUAUGGUUGAAGUGUGCAUUUAUAUGGUGGUAGAUCUAUCUAAAAGAAGAAAAAGGCAUGGAGCUUUCCUGCCUAAUCAGUAUAUACAUGUAUUAUAUCUAUCUAUCUAUAUAGUAUAGUAUAUCAACCAUCCUAUAGGUACAGUUUGAGAUUUAUGCUGCUUAUGCAUGAGUCUGUGUAUAUAUAUAUAUUUUUAUAUAUGGGAAUCUUUAUCUGUAGAGUGUAUCCAUAGGACAAUGUGCAAUGGUCUUAAACGGUAAGAGCUUAGAUUUAGAUUACACAUUUGAAAGAAAUUCUUGACUGUGAGAGCAGUAAGGCACUGGAACAGGCUGCCCAGAGAAGCCAUGACUGCCCCAUCCCUGGAAGCAUUUGAGGUCAGACUGGAUACAGCUUUGAGCAGCCUGAUAUAGUGCAAGGUGCCCCCUGCCCAUGGCAGGCUGUUGGAACUAGAUGGUCUAAUCCAUUCUAUGAUUCUAAACUAUUUCUCUCUCUUUUUCUUUUUCCAAUGGAGUAG
ensembl:lncRNA